rnacentral:miRNA from 1 species
GUAGGAGAUCAAAGAUCAAGC